rnacentral:rRNA from 1 species
UACGUAGGGUCCGAGCGUUGUCCGGAAUUACUGGGCGUAAAGAGCUCGUAGGUGGUUUGUCGCGUUGUCCGUGAAAACUCACAGCUCAACUGUGGGCGUGCGGGCGAUACGGGCAGACUGGAGUACUGCAGGGGGAGACUGGAAUUCCUGGUGUAGCGGUGGAAUGCGCAGAUAUCAGGAGGAACACCGAUGGCGAAGGCAGGUCUCUGGGCCGCAACUGACGCUGAGGAGCGAAAGCAUGGGGAGCGAACAGG